rnacentral:snRNA from 1 species
GUGCUCACUUUGACAGCACAUAUACUAAAAUUGGAAUAAUACAGAGAAGGUUAGCAUGGCCC